GCCCUGCGCACGUCGGAUCUCUGCCGGAAUCGGCCAUUUUCGCCGACUGUGGUGUUUGAACUUCCAGCCGUUCGUUCUCCCUCGUUUCGCCACCAUUUCUUUCGAGUGAGGCGCCAGGAGUCCGGCUAACCAGCAGGAGGGACCCUCGAGAGGUCCAGCUAGCUCGGACCAGCAGCCUUAGAAGAACGAAGGAAACCGCCCGGGCCAUCAGCCUAGCUUCCGCCCCACCACCAAAGUGUAGGAUUUUGUUGUAACUCU